CAUGUAUCUUUUGACACACGUAACCGAAGUAUCAUACAAGCUCAGACAGCACCUACCAUAAGAAUCUUUGUUUUAAGGAUUACAAAAACGAAGAGCCAGACAAAUAGUAUGUCUACCGAAAUUAGGCCAAAUUACACUCUACGUCAGUUAUUCUCUUCCACAAAGUUCCUUGAAUUAGAAAAAGAUAAAAUACGUAAUGAAUGCGUCCACAUAGUGCGACAGGCACUGAUGUAGUCAAUCUAGUGACUGAUAAUAAUUCAUCGAUUUUUCAUCAAACGUCACUGUCAUCUUUGGUUUUACACAGAGUGGUUAAUCGCAGUUUUUCGUUGUUCUAUUCAAGUUUUCUAUUCAGUUCUUCGUAAAGUUCGUUGAUUGUUAGGAUUAUUGUUUCGUUGUCCUAUUUUUUAUGUUUUGUUAUCUUAUUUCUUGUUCGUGUUUGGUCUACAACAUGACGGGCAAACGUUUGAGUUCCCGUGCCCAGGACAUCGUGCCAACUUUAUAGAGUAUUUUGCUCUUGAGAAGGAAAACGGUGGUUCUUUAAUCUCAUUAAAUGGUACAGAACGACGAGUUGCAGAUGCUCUAGGCGUUACUCGCCGAACGGUUUCGAAGAUUGAAACUCGAAAAGAAAAACUUGGCGUCCUUCCCAGUCCGACAAAAUCACGACCCAAUCGGAAAGCACCGAAACCAAAAGACCUGCCUGAGCCUACACAUUUGUGUCAUGUUGACGUUAUGAACAUUGUCAUCUUUUUGACUAAUUACUACAAAGUAACAGUUAUUAUUUCGGACGUUAGCUUUUGGUCACGUGUGUAAAAAGAUACAUGAAUUCAACUAUAUAUGUUUUAAUUUGCCGAGAGAUCAUUUUCAAAAUAUAUUUAUAAUAAAAAUA